UACGUAGGGGGCAAGCGUUGUCCGGAUUUAUUGGGCGUAAAGAGCGUGUAGGCGGCCAUGCAGGUCCGCUGUGAAAACUCGAGGCUCAACCUCGAGACGUCGGUGGAAACCGUGUGGCUAGAGUCCGGAAGAGGAGAGUGGAAUUCCCGGUGUAGUGGUGAAAUGCGUAGAUAUCGGGAGGAACACCAGUGGCGAAGGCGACUUCCUGGCCUGUUCUUGACGCUGAGGCGCGAAAGCUAGGGGAGCAAACAGG
rnacentral:rRNA from 1 species